rnacentral:lncRNA from 1 species
UCCCGGGAGUGAUCCCAGAUCCUGGGAGUGAUUCCUGAUCCUGGGAGUGGUCCCAGAUCUUGGGGGUGAUUCCAGAUCCUGGGAGUGAUCCCGGAGUGAUCCCAGAUCCUGGGAAUGAUUCCUGAUCCUUGGGAGUGAUCCCGGGAGUGAUUCUGGGAGUGAUUCCUGAUACUGGGAGUGAUCCCAGAUCCUUGGGAGUGAUCCCAGGAGUGAUCCCAGAUCUUGGGGGUGAUUCCAGAUCCUGGGAGUGAUCCCGGAGUGAUCCCAGAUCUUGGGAGUGAUUCCUGAUCCUUGGGAGUGAUCCCAGAUCCUUGGGAGUGAUCCCAGGAGUGAUCCCAGAUCUUGGGGGUGAUUCCUGAUCCUGGGAGUGAUCCCGGGAGUGAUCCCAGAUCUUGGGGGUGAUUCCUGAUCCUGGGAGUGAUCCCGGGAGUGAUCCCAGAUCCUUGGGAGUGAUCCCAGAUCCCAGGAGUGAUCCUGGGAGUGAUCCCUGAUCCCAGGAAUGAUCCUGGAGUGAUCCUGGGAGUGAUCCCGGGGGUGAUUCCUAGUCCUGGGAGUGAUUCCUGAUCCUUGGGAAUGAUUCCUGAUCCCAGGAAUGAUCCUGGAGUGAUCCUGGGAGUGAUCCCAGAUCCUUGGGAGUGAUUCCCGGGAGUGAUUCCUGAUCCCAGGAGUGAUCCCGGGAGUGAUUCCUGUUCCCUGGGAAUUCCCAAUAUUCCCAGGUACCUGUGCCGUGUGGAGGAGACGCGUCAGUCGCUCAGGAUCCCCUCAAUUCCCGGUGUUUUUCCCAUUGUUAUUCCCAGUUUUUCCCGGUUUUAUUCCCGGUUUUUGCCAUUAUUCCGGUUGUCAUUCCGGUUGUUGUUCUGGUUGUUAUUCCCGUUAUUCCAGUUGUUGUUCCGGUUGUUGUCCCAGGUACCUGUGCCGGGUGGAGGAGAUGCGUCAGUCACUCAGGAUCCCGGGAAUUCCCGGUGUUACUCCCGUUGUUAUUCCCAUUGUCAUUCCUGGUUUUUCCCGGUUUUUCCCAUUAUUCCGGUUGUCAUUCCGAUUGUUGUUCCGGUUGUUCCGGUUGUUGUCCCAGGUACCUGUGCUGGGUGGAGGAGAUGCAUCAGUCGCUCAGGAUCCCCUGAAUUCCCGGUGUUUUUCCGGUUGUUAUUCCUGGUUUUUCCCGGUUUUUGCCAUUAUUCCGGUUGUCAUUCCGGUUGUUGUUCCGGUUGUUGUCGCAGGUACCUGUGCCGUGUGGAGGAGACGCGUCAGUCACUCAGGAUCCCCUGAAUUCCCGUGGUUAUUCCCGUUGUUAUUCCCAUUGUUAUUCCCAGAAUUCCCGGUUGUCAUUCCGGUUGUCAUUCCGGUUGUUGUUCCGGUUGUUGUCCCAGGUACCUGUGCCGGGUGGAGGAGAUGCGUCAGUCGCUCAGGAUCCCCUGAAUUCCCGGUGUUAUUCCCAGAAUUUCCAGUUUUAUUCCCAGAAUUCCCGGUGUUAUUCCCGUUAUUCCGGUUGUCAUUCCGGUUGUCAUUCCGGUUGUUGUCCCAGGUACCUGUGCCGUGUGGAGGAGAUGCGUCAGUCGCUCAGGAUCCCCGGAAUUCCCGGUGUUUUUCCCGUUGUUAUUCCCAUUGUUUUUCCCAGAAUUCCCAGUGUCAUUCCGGUUGUUAUUCCGGUUGUCAUUCCGGUUGUCAUUCCGGUUGUUGUUCCGGUUGUUGUCGCAGGUACCUGUGCCGUGUGGAGGAGAUGCGUCAGUCGCUCAGGAUCCCCUGAAUUCCCGGU